UUCCAAAGGCAGGCUCAGGACAGAGACGUUCAAGAUCUUCUACGGGACAUUGAGAGCGACACAACAGCCACGCAGCAGAACCGGACCAGCAUAAACACAACUGCAGCAAAGGGCAUCCAUUGAGAAAGACAUGACCCUGCCAGCCACCCCUAGACUGAUAAUGCUUGCUGCUGUUUUCCUGAAUGAGCGAUGAAACCGUCCCAUGACCUCAUCUGUGGCUCAGCUGUGCCCCCUCCCCCAAAAACUCAAAAGAUGGAGCAAUGAUGAUUAUGAUGGCAGCACUGAUGAUGAUGGAAAGGCGGUGUGGGAUGGAGCGGCGGUCAUAAACCGCUGCUGUUGCCAUGAUGUAAGGCAAACAGAAACAUCCGGUCCUCUGCAGACAAUUGUGCAUGUGCUCACACACGAACACUCGCAUGCAUGCGCACUGCAUCCCUGCGCUUCAGGAUUACAACGCUUAAUCUGCACAGCAACAGCCCCCAUGCUGCUUUAAUGCUGAGCUGAUGGGUGAGAGAAAGAGGACGGAGAGAGAAAUGAAGGAAAAAAAGGAAGGAUGAGAGGAAAGGAAAAAGGAAAUGCCAGGGGAGGAAGCACAAGACAGAAAUGCUGAAAAUGUUACAGGGAGACACAGAACGAGACAGAGACAGAGGAUGUGAAGGCAUCAAGAGAGAGAGAGAGACACAAGAUUAAGAAUGGCUGCAUAUUCAUUCAUAAUUUCCUCUUCAUUCACAUCGUCCACCGGCCCAGUGGACAGCCGUGAUCACCCUGUUACAUAAGCGAGGGAGAAGGGAUGAAGAGAGGGGGAGAGAGGAGGGGUGAGAGGAGGUGAGGUCAGGUGAAGGAAGAAAAAUAGAGAAAGAAAAAAGCGGCGAGUGAGAAAUGGAGCCGGCUGCACUGAUCCUAUUCUCUUCCUGCAGGACCAGUCACCUUAGCAUCACUGUCAGGACAUGAUUUAUGUAGUUUGAUGAUGGCGGCGGUAUUUUGGUGAUGUCACAAUG